rnacentral:tRNA from 1 species
GCCGGUGUAGCUGAGUUGGUUUAGCAGCUGUUUUGUAAUCAGCAGACGGGAGUUCGAAUCUCUCUACCGGCACCA